rnacentral:rRNA from 1 species
GAGUGGCGAACUGGUGAGUAACACGUGGGAAACCUGCCCAGAAGCGGGGGAUAACACCUGGAAACAGAUGCUAAUACCGCAUAACAACUUGGACCGCAUGGUCCGAGUUUGAAAGAUGGCUUCGGCUAUCACUUUUGGAUGGUCCCGCGGCGUAUUAGCUAGAUGGUGGGGUAACGGCUCACCAUGGCAAUGAUACGUAGCCGACCUGAGAGGGUAAUCGGCCACAUUGGGACUGAGACACGGCCCAAACUCCUACGGGAGGCAGCAGUAGGGAAUCUUCCACAAUGGACGAAAGUCUGAUGGAGCAACGCCGCGUGAGUGAAGAAGGGUUUCGGCUCGUAAAACUCUGUUGUUAAAGAAGAACAUAUCUGAGAGUAACUGUUCAGGUAUUGACGGUAUUUAACCAGAAAGCCACGGCUAACUACGUGCCAGCAGCCGCGGUAAUACGUAGGUGGCAAGCGUUGUCCGGAUUUAUUGGGCGUAAAGCGAGCGCAGGCGGUUUUUUAAGUCUGAUGUGAAAGCCUUCGGCUCAACCGAAGAAGUGCAUCGGAAACUGGGAAACUUGAGUGCAGAAGAGGACAGUGGAACUCCAUGUGUAGCGGUGAAAUGCGUAGAUAUAUGGAAGAACACCAGUGGCGAAGGCGGCUGUCUGGUCUGUAACUGACGCUGAGGCUCGAAAGUAUGGGUAGCAAACAGGAUUAGAUACCCUGGUAGUCCAUACCGUAAACGAUGAAUGCUAAGUGUUGGAGGGUUUCCGCCCUUCAGUGCUGCAGCUAACGCAUUAAGCAUUCCGCCUGGGGAGUACGGCCGCAAGGCUGAAACUCAAAGGAAUUGACGGGGGCCCGCACAAGCGGUGGAGCAUGUGGUUUAAUUCGAAGCUACGCGAAGAACCUUACCAGGUCUUGACAUACUAUGCAAAUCUAAGAGAUUAGACGUUCCCUUCGGGGACAUGGAUACAGGUGGUGCAUGGUUGUCGUCAGCUCGUGUCGUGAGAUGUUGGGUUAAGUCCCGCAACGAGCGCAACCCUUAUUAUCAGUUGCCAGCAUUAAGUUGGGCACUCUGGUGAGACUGCCGGUGACAAACCGGAGGAAGGUGGGGAUGACGUCAAAUCAUCAUGCCCCUUAUGACCUGGGCUACACACGUGCUACAAUGGAUGGUACAACGAGUUGCGAACUCGCGAGAGUAAGCUAAUCUCUUAAAGCCAUUCUCAGUUCGGAUUGUAGGCUGCAACUCGCCUACAUGAAGUCGGAAUCGCUAGUAAUCGCGGAUCAGCAUGCCGCGGUGAAUACGUUCCCGGGCCUUGUACACACCGCCCGUCACACCAUGAGAGUUUGUAACACCCAAAGUCGGUGGGGUAACCUUUUAGGAACCAG